rnacentral:rRNA from 1 species
UACAGAGGCCCCUAGCGUUGUUCGGAAUUACUGGGCUUAAAGCGAGUGUAGGCGGCGGCAUAAGUCAGAUGUGAAAGCCCGGGGCCUAACCGCGGAACUGCAUUUGAUACUGUGUUGCUUGAGUACGGUAGAGGAGAGUGGAAUUCCUGGUGUAGGAGUGAAAUCCGUAGAUAUCAGGAGGAAUACCAAUGGCGAAGGCGGCUCUCUGGACCGGUACUGACGCUGAGGCGCGAAAGCUAGGGGAGCAAACGGG